rnacentral:rRNA from 1 species
AUAGCGUAUAUUAAAGUUGUUGCAGUUAAAAAGCUCGUAGUUGAAAUUGGGCGCGGCUGGCCGGUCCGCCUCACGGCGUGCACUGGUCUCGGCCGUGCUUUCCUCUUGGGCUGCCCGAGAGCGCUUCAUUGUGCGCUCGGGUCGGACCAGGACUUUUACUUUGAAAAAAUUAGAGUGUUCAAAGCAGGCAUUUGCUCGGAUACAUUAGCAUGGAAUAAUAGAAUAGGACGUCGAUCUUUUUUUGUUGUUUUCUAGGACCGCCGUAAUGAUUAAUAGGGAUAGUUGGGGGCAUUAGUAUUCAAUUGUCAGAGGUGAAAUUCUUGGAUUUAUUGAAGACUAACUACUG